UUUCAUUUGCUUCCUAGUUAAAUGCAGCUCGGAGCCGCCGGCCGGCCCGCGACACAGUCCACGCCUGAGCAGAGGACAGAGGAACCAGGAAGGUAGAGGUUGACAAUCAGCCCUUUCGAGGCCAUUGGAAGAGCAGGUGGAAAGGAGCCAGGCCAAGGCGCUGACUCACGAACCCGCUUCCCCUCCAGAUCUGGCCGGCCGGGGAGCCAGGACAGUGCCGCCAGUGGGAUCCCGGAGCCACCGGCCUCUGAACCGCACGGUGUGGAACAGAGCCGGGACCUUGGGACUGGCCCAGUCCCCGUCGCAGCUUCCUGACGCAGGGGGUGGUGCCGCGCUCCCCACAUGGCA